AUUUGUCUCUGACUUUAUCCUAAAGAACUUGAGUUCUUCAAGGAGGCUGGGGAGCAGGGGGAGGCUGCAAGAGGUCAGAAAGUGUAUGCUAGGUUCAGAAUCCAAUUCAGAUGUGUGGUACUCUGUCUGCUCGGAAGGAAAACUUAUGACUCGCAGCUGCAUUGCAACAAGCACCGGGAUGAAGCCACCAAGGGCCCCCGCAUAUUUUCCUUGGCUUCGGCGCAAGCAGUUGACAUCAUUUCAGGUUUUGCCAUUCAUCCACUGCUGCCUGGAGCUUGUGGCUGUGUGCGGCUGUGUUCCAGAGUCUGGGGAAGGUCUGAGUGAAAACUGGGGGAGGGCGGGGUGCUGAGGUGGUCCCACUGAGUUUGUAAAAACAAGCAAAAAUGCACUGAACCCUGCCUUUCUUCCACUGCAACGAGGAGUGAAGCUAACCUUAAGCCCUCUGCCCAGCCCAGUCCUCCAGUGCACACAGACCCGGGCCAAGGCUAGCCUGGAGACCCAGAGAAGUCUUUGUUCUGUCUGUGCUAUUUUGGGAAAUGAUGACGAAUAUUCGCCACAGAUGGCGCUCUCUUGGAGGGCUCUGAGCUCGGGUCAGCUGGGAUCCCGGUGCUUGGCACGCGCUGGAGUCUCCGUAUGUGUUUAUUGAAUCCACUGUGGCAGGGACAUGGAUCGCCCACCAACUCCUCCUCUUGAACACACUACUUGGGCACACACGUCCCAGCUCUCUGGCACCUAGGUGAGGCCAUGUGACUUGUUCUUGCCAAUGCAACAUGAGCCAUGACUUGGCUAUUUCCAGACUGACAUAGGAAGGAGUGGGUGAAGUGGCCUCAUUUGAGUUAUCCUAGGUCUCUCUUCCCUCACCUGCCAGCUGCCUGUGGGGGCUCCAGCAAAGGACCCCAGACCCGACAGGCAGGGCCUGAGCCCUGAAGACCGCAUGGAGAGGAGUCCCUCCGGUGGCAUUGCUUGUUAACCAGUUAGCCUACCCUGACAAACACACUCACAUUGUGUGAGCCAAAGAAGCUCAAUUCAGAGAUGGAUGACCAGUUCCCUUGUCUUUCUAUUUCCUGUCACUACUUGAUACAAGAUGCCAACUGUACAUCCACCCCAUGAUGCCAGUGUCUAGGCACAGUUUUCACAGUAUUAAGUUUAACUGAUUUUGUACCUAACCCUGCUACUGAUCCCAUGGAGUCUUACAUGCUAUGUCUUUCUUCUGCACCCCAUUUGACUAUCAGCUCUGAAGAAGCAGGUGCAAAUUCUUCCUCUGUGCCCUAAGUCUACAGCUAUUCAUUUAGUAAAUAUUUACUGAGUGCCUACCACCUGUCAUUCACUAUUGCAGGAACUAGAAAUAGAGCAAUAACCAAACAGACUGAGUCCCUGUCCUCAUGGAAUUUAUGCUAUAGAGGGAGAGACAGAUAAUAAGCACAUGUGACUACUGAAAAAGCAGGAACAACAAAAAUUCCUGGAAAAGCCACUUCUAUAGUGUGGUGUCCUUCCUUACCAGUGCCUUCUACAGAAGCAUUUUCACAAUGAUUUGGGUAAAUAAUUGAUUAAUGUCUAUUUCAUCCACAGAGCUGUGAGAUCCAUGAGGCUGGGGCACCACUCUAUCCCCAGCACUUAGCACAGCACUAGCACAUAGCAAACACUCCAUAAAUAUUGAUGGAAUAAAAAAAGUUAUAAUGAUGAUAAUAUCUGCUGUCUGCUAAGAGCCAGUUAUUUUCUAGGUGCCAAAGGGUUUUGCUUGCACCAUCUCAUUUAAUCCUUACAUCAUCCCUGCAAAGUAGUUAUUAUUAUCUCUGUUUUAGCAGAAAAGGAAUUGUGACUCAGAGAGGUUAAGUGAUCGGCCCAGUGCCACAUGGCUAGCAGUAAACGGCCAAGCUGACUUUAGAAUCCACGCACUUUUCUCAGGCCUGCCCUGUGACCCACGACAAGUGCUUUUUUAUGCCCCAUAUAUUCUUUCUCAACAAUGAGGAGCAACAACUACGGGCCACCGUUCCUGUGAGCUGGACCAUCCAUCCCUCUUUGUGAUUUGCUCUGGCCAGCUUGGGCUGCCUUCCCCAGCAGAUGGAAGAUGUGGGCUUGUGGUAAUUACAGACCGUGUUGUCCUUUUCAUUUAUGUCUUCACAAUCCAGCUUGACAUUGUGUCAUAAAAGUUUAUGUACUGUGUUCUCUGUGCUCCUUACUAAUAUUCUCUGGCAUUCUCCCUAGCCGUCCGGAAUCAAUACC
rnacentral:lncRNA from 1 species